rnacentral:lncRNA from 12 species
UCAAACUAUUGAAAAUGUUAGAUCUAAAGAUGCCGGUGCUUAAUUAAUAAUAAGUGUCGCUAUGGUACCGGGUAUAAUACUGCUGUAUUUGUUGUGACUCUGUUCUGUUCUGUUUUGUCUGCCAGACCCAGAUGGGGAAAGGUCACAGUCAAUAGAUGAGCCUGACUCCUGUCCUGUGUGUAGAGAAGGACUGCAGAGUCUCUCCAGCUUAUGCAAGUCUAUUCCCUGCGUGUGCUUGAGGAGAGAGAUGAAGGUUAUUGUCCAGCCAUGCAGUGGACCAUGUUUAGUGAAGGGCCUGAACCAGAAGAGAACCAGAUUGAUUGCUCUGAUUUUCUCCCACUGCAAUCUCAUGGGCGGAAAGCUGUUUGGACUCUCAUUCUGAUGGCACCUAUUCACUGCAGAGGAUCCAUUGGUGAACAAGUGAUGUAAUGGUAAAUGUUCUGAUGAAGAAACAAACUCAUCUACAUCUUGGACUGCCUGAGGGUGAGUACAUUUUCAGCUGUUUCAUUUUGGGUGGAGAAUUCCUUAAAUAAAUUUGCACAAAUUUGACUGCAAUAAUCUGCUCAAAGCUUUUCAGAUAAGUAAAUGCCUCAAUUUUGAAAACCUCAGUUAAUGUAAAGAGUCCAGCUGUCCAGAUGACGGUUAUUCUAGAUCUUCUGUAAAAUAUCCCUCUCUAGUUGCUUUUGCACUAAAAUCAGACAUUGCCUGCCUUUAAAUUGAUCUAUAUUAGAAACAAAGAUAUAUAAACAGCCCUCAAAGACCUCAGAAAUUACGCUAAUUGGAAAGUUACUUUCUAAGAAACAAAGAACUUUUUCGUUAUGAAGAUUAAGGUAGACUCCAGGGUUCCUCUGUAUCAAUAUAGAUCUGAGGUAUCUUUCUCGGUCUCUCUUGCUAGUGGCUAGCUCAGGCUAAUGAGCUAAUUUUGUUCACUAAGAAGAUUAAAUUUGUUUUAAGUAAAUGAGGUGUCGUAGGCAGGGAUUUGCUAUUCUUUGAAUGAGGUUUGUACAUUAAUUCCCACACAUCCAACGUACACUUCAUUACACACUCUGGACUUUUUAAGUAUAUUAACUUUUCUGUGGGUGUAUACCAUCCCUAAUCACCAGUUUCUCGUUUUUUCAUAAUUUAAUUCAUUGUUGUUGAAACAUCCCUUUUAUAUCAUAAAUUAAAGACCUAUAUGAAUAAUAGAAUGUGUAUGAAAAUGAUGCGUGCUUUCUUUGCUUGUAUUUUUUAUUUUGCUUCUAUAAUGAAAUGUGAUGCAGAGGUGUUUUACUUCUCCUAAAAAAUGCACAAUUGUUUCUUUCUGCCUCAUCUUGCAGGAAAAUGUUCUGUAAGGCAAAUCAGAAUUCAAUGGUUUUGGCAAUUUCAAAGUCCCAUUUUCAGAGAGUCUGUAUUGAGCUAAAGAUCUCUCUGGAUGAGUUGCCUUCAUUCACUUUAUGCUGUUUCUUGUUAAAAUUCCAAAAUAUGACCAUAUCCAAUUUCAUUUGAGAAUAAGCCCUCACAUCUUAUAUUUAUGAACCACCUUUGUGUUUUCAUCUCAUCUCAGUGCUGUCAGAACAAAAAGAAAAAUAACCCUUGAGAGAGGAGGGGUACUGGAAAGUGAUGCUAUCUCACUCUAUAUACAGCUCUGUAGCAGCACGGUUUAGAAAUACUUAGCAGAGCUUGAACUAUACCCUGUGUUCAUUUCAUUUACUGCUGAUUUGAAAGGAAUCUCAACACUGGCAUCCAAAUUCAAGUUUCAUUUUGAUGUUUGGGGCCUGUUUUGGAUUUAUAUCUAAAUAUUUGAUCCAGGGAUAUCUUGUCAUGCUUGUCUAUGUUAAUAAAGAGUGAACUUGUUUUAUCUGUCACCCUUGAAGUGUACAACAGUACUGCCAAAACUCCCAGAAUGCAUCACUUCAUGCAUGCCAAGAUUUAAUCUGCUUAUCAUGACUGUUUUCAUUAGCAUUUACAUGUGUCAUUUAUGAGUGAUGCCCCAUAUAAUAGAAAACAAUUACAGUAAUAACAAAUAAUUUUUUAUUUUAACUCUCUGCACAACGUCAAGUGCCCUUUAAAAAAACNGUUAUAUCAAAGCAAGGUUAGACUAAUUAGACGCAGGAUUCAAGUUCUUAUAAGUCAGUAAAACAAAACAGAGACAUCAUACAUUAUGAUGAUGAUGAUGAUUACUAUUAUAUAACAAUAUUUUUACAUGGUAACCAUUAUAUUUAAUUAGAUUUUAUUAAUACUUAUAAAAUACUUUUUUUGUAACGUCUUUCUUGGAAUAUAUUUUUAGUAAGUUAUUCCUCACUAAAACAAAUCUCAUCAUAUUUCUUA